AGCAGUAUAAUGUAAUGGUAACAUGCAAUGCUCAUAACCUUGUAAUUGAUAGUUCGAAUCUAUCUACUGCAC
rfam:Pichia farinosa complete mitochondrial genome, strain CBS7064